AGAGUUUGAUCAUGGCUCAGGAUGAACGCUGGCGGUCUGCUUAACACAUGCAAGUCGAACGGAACUUUUCGGAGUUCAGUGGCGGACGGGUGAGUAACGCGUGAGAAUCUGCCUUCUGGUCGGGGACAACCACUGGAAACGGUGGCUAAUACCGGAUGAGCCUACGGGUAAAAGAUUUAUUGCCAGAAGAGGAGCUCGCGUCUGAUUAGCUAGUUGGUGAGGUAAAGGCUCACCAAGGCAUCGAUCAGUAGCUGGUCUGAGAGGAUGACCAGCCACACUGGGACUGAGACACGGCCCAGACUCCUACGGGAGGCAGCAGUGGGGAAUUUUCCGCAAUGGGCGAAAGCCUGACGGAGCAAGACCGCGUGAGGGAGGAAGGCUCUUGGGUUGUAAACCUCUUUUCUUGGGGAAGAAAAAAAUGACGGUACCCAAGGAAUCAGCAUCGGCUAACUCCGUGCCAGCAGCCGCGGUAAUACGGAGGAUGCAAGCGUUAUCCGGAAUUAUUGGGCGUAAAGCGUCCGCAGGUGGCACUUCAAGUCUGCUGUCAAAGGUCGGGGCUUAACCCCGGGAAGGCAGUGGAAACUGAAGCGCUAGAGUGUCGUAGGGGUAGAGGGAAUUCCCGGUGUAGCGGUGAAAUGCGUAGAGAUCGGGAAGAACAUCGGUGGCGAAAGCGCUCUACUGGACGACAACUGACACUCAGGGACGAAAGCUAGGGGAGCGAAUGGGAUUAGAUACCCCAGUAGUCC
rnacentral:rRNA from 1 species